AGGACUAUCUUUUUUCUCGUGCGAGGCAUUGUGUUAAGUGUGGGGAUAUAAGAUAUGUCACCCUCCCUUAAGUUUUUAAGGCAAGAAAAAUAGACUUCAAUUGUACACUACCCCUAAGUGCUGAGACGAAAAUAAACCCAGAUGCUAAUUGAGACUGAGAAAUCUCUGGAGGCUUCCAGGAAGGUCUGGCUCGUGUGCUGAGCUUUUAUAAAGUAAUGUAUUUACUGAGAGGAAGGAGAGGCUUAGAAUGUGGCUGGUAAGUGCGUACAUUCUGCAUCUAGGCUAUCUGGGUUCUCUCCAGCCUUGGGUGUGUCCGUGAUUACCCAUAAGCCUAGGCAAGUUACCCAACCUCUUGGUCUCUCAGUUUCCUCCAACGCUGCUGUCAUUGACCCUUUCUAAGGCUGAGAGGACAAAAAAGUUGCACUGCCGUCAAACGUACUGCCUACCCCUUUGCGGAAAGGCCGAGAUGGAGACUCACCGGAAGUGAGGAUGGAGCAGCUAUACACUCGUAAAGCCCUUUUUAUGACUGCUGUGGGGAAGUGUCUCUCACCGAACUUGAUGCUCACUGAUUGGGUAGACUUGCUGGCUAGAAAGCUGAGGAAUCUUCUCUAAACCUCCCCACACUGGGAUUACAGGUACAUGUUAAGUCCCUGGCUUUUAAUGUGGGUACAAAGAGAGGAUCUGAACUCAAGUCUUUUUUUUUUAACAUUUUAUUGGUUUUUUUAUGUGAAUUUCACAUCAUGCACCCAAGUAUAAUUCAUACCUCCCUCCCUAGCAUCCACCCUCCAUCCUUGAGACCUCCCCCUGACAGUGAAUAAAAAAAGUCUCAACACGGAAACUGUAAUGUGUCAUGGUGUAUCCUACGGUAUAGCUUUAUCCACACUUCUUUGUUUGCAAAUGUUCAUUGUAGUGACUUCUUGGCCUGGUAUGAGGUCUCUGGCUUCUGCUAUUCUAUCAAUACUGGACUUCGCUGGGACUCUUCUGGGAUAUCUUGUUGCUCUGUGUCAUGGAGAUCCUGUAGUUUUGGAUACAAUCCAGCAGUUCAUCAAAGGAUAGAUGUUGGGGUAGGCCAAUUCAAAGCCCUGGAUCUGGGCCUGAGAGGUAUCUG
rnacentral:sRNA from 1 species